rnacentral:rRNA from 1 species
UCAGGACGAACGCUGGCGGCGUGCUUAACACAUGCAAGUCGAGCGAUGAAGCUUCUUCGGAAGUGGAUUAGCGGCGGACGGGUGAGUAACACGUGGGUAACCUGCCUCAUAGAGGGGGAAUAGCCUUUCGAAAGGAAGAUUAAUACCGCAUAAGAUUGUAGUACCGCAUGGCACAGCAAUUAAAGGAGUAAUCCGCUAUGAGAUGGACCCGCGUCGCAUUAGCUAGUUGUGGGGUAACGGCUCACCAAGGCGACGAUGCGUAGCCGACCAGAGAGGGUGAUCGGCCACAUUGGGACUGAGACACGGCCCAGACUCCUACGGGAGGCAGCAGUGGGGAAUAUUGCACAAUGGGGGAAACCCUGAUGCAGCAACGCCGCGUGAGUGAUGACGGUCUUCGGAUUGUAAAGCUCUGUCUUCAGGGACGAUAAUGACGGUACCUGAGGAGGAAGCCACGGCUAACUACGUGCCAGCCGCCGC